GGCGCAGAAACUAAUGCGCACGGACCAACUCGAACGCAAUAUUUUUAUUCUUAAUGUUUGAAACAUAAUAAAAAAAAAGGUUUUAAAUGUCAAACAGAACAUAAUCAUACUCUAAAAAUUACUUCAUUAAGCUAAACUAAGCACAAAAACAGUCUCGACAUAUCAAUUUAUUAGAGUGCAUAUCAGUCUACUAGAGCACACAUAGCAUCAUAGAAACAAAACAGAGAAAGAGAGAGGGCGAAAUCACCUGUUGCGGAGCAGUGAACAAGGUGCUUUGGUCGAAGGUCUAUUUUCAAACAAAUCGAACUCGAGCAAGCUUAAAAAAUAGAAUCUCAGCCAAGAUAAAAAAGGGAUGCAAAGGCAAUAUUUAGAGCAAAGAACAGUAGUUAGAAGUGCUAUGGAGGCAGGAAAACUUCUUGUUAAAAAUGAGUGCAAAGGCUAUUAUCAAUAUCCAAAAAAAAAAUCCUCCCAAAACAAGUGGAAUGUGUCGGUAUUUAUAGCAAUGAACUAGGGUUCUUGGCUCAAGUUUGGGCCGGAUUUUAAGAAACAAAAUAGUCGUUUGAAUUUUGAAAUCUCUGCUUGAUGAUCCUUUCUCUGAAAUCUCAAAAGUUCUUUGGCAUUUUCUUGACCAAAUUAAAGAAGAGAGAUGUAAAUGAGGGGAGGAAGAAAGGGACGUCUGCCAUUGUAGAAGAAAGAGAUGAAAAUUUCACCAAAACAAGCCUGGUGAUUUUUGUCCUUGGUUGAGGAUUAAUGG
rnacentral:lncRNA from 1 species